rnacentral:rRNA from 1 species
CCUACGGGGGGCAGCAGUGGGGAAUAUUGGGCAAUGGGCGCAAGCCUGACCCAGCAACGCCGCGUGAAGGAAGAAGGCUUUCGGGUUGUAAACUUCUUUUGUCAGGGAAGAGUAGAAGACGGUACCUGACGAAUAAGCCAUGGCUAACUACGUGCCAGCAGCUGCGGUAAUACGUAGGUGGCAAGCGUUGUCCGGAUUUACUGGGUGUAAAGGGCGUGUAGCCGGGUUGACAAGUCAGAGGUGAAAUCCUGCGGCUUAACCGCAGAACUGCAUUUGAAACUGUUGAUCUUGAGUACUGGAGAGGCAGACGGAAUUCCUAGUGUAGCGGUGAAAUGCGUAGAUAUUAGGAGGAACACCAGUGGCGAAGGCGGUCUGCUGGACAGCAACUGACGGUGAGGCGCGAAAGCGUGGGGAGCAAACAGGAUUAGAUACCCCUGUAGUC